GUCAUAUAAAAAUGGCGUCUCGGGCCUGAGGUGACCAUGAUUUUCAUUGGGAGGAUUGCCUGAGGACACUAAGGCAAGCCAAUGGAGGCAGGAGUGCCCAGGGGAGUGCAGACACCUGUCUUCAAAAUCAACACUAUCAAAUCUUCAUAUAAGGAAUGACCCAGAUGAUUAUAUAAAUCUACAUUUAAUUUUCAUUAGAAUUAUCCUAGGUAGUGCUUGAACUUUAAAUCCUGUAGAGUAGAAGCAAAUCUGUGUUUGCAAUAGAAAUUGCCAGAAGAAAGAACAAGGAAGACAUUUAGAUAAUUUCAUCUGGGUGUGCAAAGUCAUCACAAGAUCCAUCUUUCCAUUAUCUGGAAGUUGGGAGCCACCUGUUUUUCAUGACGGUCUGACGGUUGGAAUGAGAAGCUCACUGACAGCACCAGGGGCCUCCUAGAACUGGCUUCCAGUAAUUCUAUUUCUGCACCA
rnacentral:lncRNA from 1 species